GCCUUUGGCACCUGUAACAGAUACUUUCCUGGAAAAUGUCAUAUUUUCAAUACACAUUAACUCUCUGUGGAACAAGAGGCAAAUAUAAAUAGCAGUUGAAGGGAAAAGUCCAAGCUAUUUUGCAUGUACUUUUGAAUAAGGGUCAAUUUUAUUUCAAGCUCCUGGGAUGACCUUUAAGGUUUUCUUUAAGGCUUUCUAUAUGUUUCGGGACAGGAUGACAAGGAAAUGACAGGGGAGCUGACAGCUCUAUUAACUGCAGGAAAAGGAUGGGCGAGAGCUGUGUUGAAUCACCUCUGGAUAACAAGCUGGAUUUCAGAAUGCAGCCCCAAUUCUUGCAGGACAAAUCACGAUGUGACAGGAAGAAUUAGAAAGGCACCUCUCAGGAGCACAUACGUUCCAGUUCCAUACCUUCUACAUGCUGGCCUGGAAGCUCAGCUUUACAAAGCACAUGAACCUUUGACCAGGGGAAUUUCAGAUAAACUGCAACAACUGAAAACUUUGCAAAGCAAAAGCCCUCCUGCAUUCCAGGAGGUGAGAAAGUGUUCAGCACUAACACCUACACAAGUGACGAUCACCAGGAGGUUGGACUCAUUUGCAGUGACUUCUGCUCAUGGACCUUUUGGCUGCCUGAGUUGAACAAGGAUGUUGCAAAUUAGAACCUGCUCACAACUUUGUCAGUGAGUCUGUUUCUGCUGUAUUUAAACUGCCUUUGCAGUGGUUGCACGGGAGAGCCAGUCUAAAGGAUUUUUCCUGUUACAGAGAGAAUGGGGUACUAUGUUAUUCUGGCUCUGUUAUAUGCAGAAUAUGGAGAGCUGAAGUCUAGUUCUUCUCCCUUUGGUCCCUUCUUGUUACCUUUUAAAGUUCCAUUCAGGGUAAUUUAAAACUUUUUUUUUUUUAAGUUAGUGCAGUACUAAAUGACCAUUUCUAGCACAAAAUGGCCAAAGUAAUUGCCCAGGGAAGUUGGUGUGACUUUCAGAGGUUAGAGGGCUACAUUCUUACUGACAAAAGAGAUACGGGUUACACAGACAUCAGAUUAUUUGCAUGGUGCAUUAACAGCAUGAAAGGAAAAGGCCUGGAUGGUAGGGUUUUAGUGAGAAUGCAGCCAAUCAUCAUGGUUCACUGGAAGAGUUCGUCUUCUAGCUUUCUAGCCUGUUUCAUGUAGUAUUUGCCUUACUCUUCAGGUGCUGUUUCUCUUGCUGGAUAUUCAAGCAGCAAAGGAACAUCAGCAAAUACGUGAAAUUUUUUCUGAUACCAUCUAUAUGAGGGACAGGACAUUUCUGUGCGUGCACCUCUGUUAAACCUUCCUAUAUUACAUACCCUUCCUAAUGACCUGUAGUAUGUUCAGCCCAACUAAUACAAUGAAACUCAGACUAUACAGAAAUAGCACAUACUUGAGAAGUCACCUCCUAUGCUUCAGUCAGUGGCAACAAGGAUAGACAGCAUCCCUCCUAGGUCUUAGCAGCUGCCUGUAAAAGAAGGGACACCCCAGACAAUUUAUCUGAGCAUCUGAAGUGCAGAUUUUCUACUUUGGAAAAGGGGUCUCGUAGAAUACCUUGCAAAGACAUGAUUGUUCCCCCUUUUGCAAUGCAAACGUUAGAUCUGGGUGUUAGACUGAAGUUACAUCUUUAAGGCUAAUCUUUGCUCCUUUAUAUGAGGCAGGAAAUUCCAAAUCUGUGAUCAAAGCAACACACAUACUUCAUAGCCCAUUUAACUUUUUGUUUUUCAAACAGAUGGAUUAGGACAAAACAAGAAGUGCACAUUUUAAGAAGACUGGAUAUUAUAUUAAUGACAAGUCCACGAGAGUAUGAACAAGCUGAUGCAGUUUAAUAAAAAGCAGAAUUUCCUAGACUCGCAUAAACUAUUAGCUCAUUGACUAAAAUAGACCUGCUGUCUCUGUUUGCUGUUGAAGCCCAGCUGCUCUGCUGAUCUCAACAAAAGAACAAUUGCAGCUACAAUAAAAACCCUGGGAUCUUGAAAGACAUGGGACGAUAUCAGCUGUUAAACAGGAUAGAAAUAACACAGCAGUGAAAUUAAUAAAUACAAACAAGUUUAAGGUGUUCUCUUCAGAAACACUGUCCUAUGGGUUAUAGAUCUAAAGAUUAGCUUUUAACAGUUCUGACAUACAAGGAACCCAUGCAAGCACUUACACAUCUCCCCUGUGUAAGUGCUUCAGUUCUUGUUCCUGGCUACAUAAAUCACAGGCAGGGUAAACGCAUUACGAGUAAAGAGAAGGAAAUAAUAUGAUCUCCUAGCAGAGAGAGCAACAGCUUUUCACUUACGUGCCAAAAUGCCACACAGCUAUUAGUAUGGAAGAAGAUACGACUUCUUUUAGAAACAGUCUAUAGCAAAUUCACAUUUUAUCUACUAAAUCCUUGGCUUCUUACAGUCUUUUAGCACGUUUCUCCUAAUAACAUCCCUCUCAAGACUAGACCGUGCUUUUCUGCUUUUCUCCCAUUUUGUAAGCACAGAAGAAAGACAAAGCAGGUACAGAUGCACAAAAAAAGAACUAAAUGUCCAAAUCCCAGCGUGCCAGCCACAAAGCCCCAGGAUAUCCAGUUACACUGGGCAAAAGCCAUAGUGCUGAAAGAUAGAAAAUGUCUCUGUUCUGAUAUAAUUUGACAGUAAAGAAGAGUUGACAGAGUCCAUAUAGAUGCUCCUGACAUAUAACAACUCCCUUAGGAUAGUGGAUACACAUGAAAGUGGGAGACAAACAGAUAAUACAACAUUGACCACGUUGUCCAAAUUCGGUGAUCACAAAUCAGUUUUCUGUUGACAAGACUCAUUUUUCACAGCAGCAUCUUUGUCUCCAAGCCUUUGUCGAACAGUUCUAACUUCAUCAGUGCAUUUGGGAAUACAUUUAACAAAAUUGUCUUUUGCAGAAGUGAGAUGGUACCAAAGAAAUGCAAUUUUGAAAAACAACAACACAGAGGGAAGGAGAAAAGCUAUCUAGAAGAACUAGUGAAGAUGGCCCUCAAUUUCCUGAUAAAAUGCCCCAGUGCACUGUUACUUGCCUAUUCUCUUUAGGAAUUACAGGAAAAUGAAAUUACCAGAGAUUUGCAAUGUGUGCAACACCAUUUCAUUAGAAGGAUAAGAAGUCCAAAUUUUCUUAUUAUCAACAAAUUAUGUCAGUAUUAAGACUGAUCAAGACCUUUGAUCUUGAAUUCUUCAUGAAAUCAGAUGCACAAGGUACAGUUACGUGAAGUAGCAAGUCCCCACAGUUUCAUUGGAGACUGUGUCUAAACACAUGACAAUAUCAGAAUUCCUAAUGUUUUCUUCUAAAUAAUUAAAAUCCUUUUCCUAUACAUCAUUAAAACCUUAAACCCCUGCUUAGAUUAUGUGACAAAAAACUUCAUGGCAGAAAAUACCAAAAAUAAAUUUACAUGUGUCCU